rnacentral:snoRNA from 12 species
CUGCAAGCCUCCAGUGUGCUUGGGUCUGGGGUGAUCCUAUGCAUCCCUACAGUACUUGCGAGAACAGUUGGAAACAGUUUGAGGCCUUGCCUGCUGCAUCCGGAGCAAGGUAAUAGAAGUUUCAGAAAGUU